UCUUGGAUGUAAAUCGACCGGAGUACUAUGAAUGUUGUAAAUUUAAAACUCAAAGAACUUGGCGGUGUUUUAGACCACUCAGGGGAACCUGUCUCGUAAUCGACAAUCCACGUUAUACCUGACCUUUCUUUGUUUUCAGUUUGUAUACCGUUGUCGUCAGGUAACUUUUUAGAAUAUAGAAGUUGGCUAGAAAAAAUGAUUUAGUACGUCAAAUCAAGGUGCAGCUAACAGAAAGGGGAGGAUGGGUUACAAUUAUAAUUUAUAAUUACGGAAGGAGGACUUGAAAGUAAAUUAGAUAAAAAUAAAUUUGAAUAAGGCUCUGAAACGUGU
rnacentral:rRNA from 1 species